GUGAAUCAUCAAAUCUUUGAACGCAAAUUGCACUCUCCUCGGAGAGUAUGCCUGUUUGAGGGUUAGGCUAUAAAAAUCGACAUCGUUGCUGUUUCGCGGUGGCGUUAGUGGGAAAUUGGGUAAUCUUAUAUCCUUUUGUUUUAUGCGACUUAAAAUUCUCUUUUGGUUCCAUGAACGAUUCUAAGAUAUAUUUCUUUACACGUUUAAGGUAUCGAUCUUUAUUAGACGUGAUCAUCAUAUAGGAUCGCGACCAUAAUGUUUAAUUAAC
rnacentral:misc_RNA from 1 species